rnacentral:rRNA from 1 species
CAGCAGCCGCGGGAAAACGAAGGGGGCUAGCGUUGCUCGGAAUUACUGGGCGUAAAGGGAGCGUAGGCGGACAUUUAAGUCAGGGGUGAAAUCCCAGAGCUCAACUCUGGAACUGCCUUUGAUACUGGGUGUCUUGAGUGUGAUAGAGGUAUGUGGAACUCCGAGUGUAGAGGUGAAAUUCGUAGAUAUUCGGAAGAACACCAGUGGCGAAGGCGACAUACUGGAUCAUUACUGACGCUGAGGCUCGAAAGCGUGGGGAGCAAACAGGAUUAGAUACCCCCGUAGUCCCUGUCUCUUAUAA